rnacentral:rRNA from 1 species
CAGCGACGCCGCGUGAGGGAUGACGGCCUCGGGUUGUAAACCUCUUUCAGUAGGGAAGAAGCGAAAGUGACGGUACCUGCAGAAGAAGCGCCGGCUAACUACGUGCCAGCAGCCGCGGUAAUACGUAGGGCGCAAGCGUUAUCCGGAUUAUUGGGCGUAAAGAGCUCGUAGGCGGUUUGUCGCGUCUGCCGUGAAAGUCCGGGGCUCAACUCCGGAUCUGCGGUGGGUACGGGCAGACUAGAGUGAUGUAGGGGAGACUGGAAUUCCUGGUGUAGCGGUGAAAUGCGCAGAUAUCAGGAGGAACACCGAUGGCGAAGGCAGGUCUCUGGGCAUUAACUGACGCUGAGGAGCGAAAGCAUGGGGAGCGAACAGGAUUAGAUACCCUGGUAGUCCAUGCCGUAAACGUUGGGCACUAGGUGUGGGGGACAUUCCACGUUUUCCGCGCCGUAGCUAACGCAUUAAGUGCCCCGCCUGGGGAGUACGGCCGCAAGGCUA